CAAUAGCGUAUAUUAAAGUUGUUGCAGUUAAAAAGCUCGUAGUUGGAUUUCUGGUUGAAGCGACCGGUCGGGCGUUGAUUCGUCUGCACUGGAGUCGGUUUUGGCCAUCCUCUGGGAAAGUGCGUCUGGUAUUAAGUUAUCGGGCGUAUGAUCCUGGUCUUUUACUGUGAAAAAAUUAGAGUGUUUAAAGCAGGCCUUCGCCUUGAAUACAUUAGCAUGGAAUAAUAAGAUAGGACUUUGGUCUAUUUUGUUGGUUUGCAGACCGAAGUAAUGAUUAAUAGGGAUAGUUGGGGGUAUUUAUAUUCCGACGUCAGAGGUGAAAUUCUUAGAUUUUCGGAAGAUAAACUUAUGCGAAAGCAUUUACCAAGGAUGUUUUCAUUA
rnacentral:rRNA from 1 species